AGCAAUAGCUACUUGUAUCAUUAAUGAUGCAAGCUCGACUAUGUUGAAUAAAGUUCUAGGUAGAAUUAUGAUAAUGACAUUGUCUGCCUAUGUGUCUUGACCAAAUUACGUGCCAGCAGUCGCGGUAAUACGUAGAAGACUAGUGUUAUUCAUGUUUAAUCGGUUUAAAGGGUACCUAGACGGUGAAUCAAGCUUUAAAAUAAAUAAGAAAAGGGACUAAUUCGCUAGAGUUACUUACGAGGGGGUAUUAAAGUACUGCUGGUGUAGAGAUGAAAUUCUGUCAUACCUCUUUUCGAAAGAAAAAUCAUGGCACAGGUAUAGGCGAAGGCAUCCCCUUAUGUGAUAACUGACGUUGAGGGACGAAGGCUUCGUGUAACAAACAGGAUUAGAUACCCUAGUAGUUGAAGCAGAAAAUGAUGAAUGUCAUAGAUUAGACGUCUAAGUUUAUUCUAUAAAUGAAAGUGUAAGCAUUCCACCUCAGGAGUAAUUUGGCAACAUUGGAAUUGAAAUCAUUAGACCGUUUCUGAAACCAGUAGUGAAGUAUGUUGUUUAAUUUGAUAAUCCACAAAAAACCUUACCACAAUUUGAAUAUUUAUAUUCUUUAUUGUUAUCUAAUUAAUUUUCUUCCUUUUUU
rnacentral:rRNA from 1 species